rnacentral:rRNA from 1 species
UGUUGGUGAGGUAACGGCUUACCAAGGCGACGAUCUGUAGCGGGUCUGGGAGGAUGAUCCGCCACACUGGAACUGAGACACGGUCCAGACUCCUACGGGAGGCAGCAGUGGGGAAUUUUGGACAAUGGGGGCAACCCUGAUCCAGCCAUGCCGCGUGAGUGAAGAAGGCCUUCGGGUUGUAAAGCUCUUUCGGCCGGGAAGAAAUCGCAUGGGCCAAUACCCUGCGUGGAUGACGGUACCGGAAUAAGAAGCACCGGCUAACUACGUGCCAGCAGCCGCGGUAAUACGUAGGGUGCGAGCGUUAAUCGGAAUUACUGGGCGUAAAGCGUGCGCAGGCGGUUUUGUAAGACAGGCGUGAAAUCCCCGGGCUCAACCUGGGAACUGCGUUUGUGACUGCAAGGCUAGAGUACGGCAGAGGGGGGUGGAAUUCCACGUGUAGCAGUGAAAUGCGUAGAGAUGUGGAGGAACACCAAUGGCGAAGGCAGCCCCCUGGGUCGAUACUGACGCUCAUGCACGAAAGCGUGGGUAGCAAACAGGAUUAGAUACCCUGGUAGUCCACGCCCUAAACUAUGUCAACUAGGUGUUGGGUGGGUAAAACCAUUUAGUACCGUAGCUAACGCGUGAAGUUGACCGCCUGGGGAGUACGGCCGCAAGGUUAAAACUCAAAGGAAUUGACGGGGACCCGCACAAGCGGUGGAUGAUGUGGAUUAAUUCGGUGCAACGCGAAAAACCUUACCUACCCUUGACAUGCCAGGAACUUGCCAGAGAUGGCUUGGUGCCCGAAAGGGAGCCUGGACACAGGUGCUGCAUGGCUGUCGUCAGCUCGUGUCGUGAGAUGUUGGGUUAAGUCCCGCAACGAGCGCAACCCUUGUCGUUAAUUGCCAUCAUUUAGUUGGGCACUUUAGCGAGACUGCCGGUGACCAACCGGAGGAAGGUGGGGAUGACGUCAAGUCCUCAUGGCCCUUAUGGGUAGGGCUUCACACGUCAUACAAUGGUCGGUACAGAGGGUCGCCAAGCCGCGAGGUGGAGCCAAUCCCAGAAAGCCGAUCGUAGUCCGGAUUGCAGGCUGCAACUCGCCUGCAUGAAGUCGGAAUCGCUAGUAAUCGUGGAUCAGCAUGUCACGGUGAAUACGUUCCCGGGUCUUGUACACACCGCCCGUCACACCAUGGGAGCGGGUUCCGCCAGAAGUAGGUAGCCUAACCGCAAGGAGGGCGCUUACCACGGCGGGGUUCGUGACUGGGGUGGAGUCGUAACAAGGUAGCCGUAGGGGAACCUGCGGCUG